AUUGAACGCUGGCGGCAGGCCUAACACAUGCAAGUCGAACGAGUGGCGGACGGGUGAGUAAUGCCUAGGGAUCUGCCUGAUAGAGGGGGAUAACUUCUGGAAACGGGCGCUAAUACCGCAUACUAUCAGAUGAGCCUAGAUGGGAUUAGCUAGUGGGUGGGGUAAAGGCCUACCAAGGCGACGAUCCCUAGCUGGUCUGAGAGGAUGACCAGCCACACUGGGACUGAGACACGGUCCAGACUCCUACGGGAGGCAGCAGUGGGGAAUAUUGCACAAUGGGCGCAAGCCUGAUGCAGCCAUGCCGCGUGUAUGAAGAAGGCCUUCGGGUUGUAAAGUACUUUCAGCGGGGAGGCGUUACCCGCAGAAGAAGCACCGGCUAACUCCGUGCCAGCAGCCGCGGUAAUAC
rnacentral:rRNA from 1 species